rnacentral:rRNA from 1 species
CCUACGGGUGGCUGCAGUGGGGGAUAUUGCACAAUGGAGGGAACUCUGAUGCAGCGACGCCGCGUGAGGGAAGAAGGUUUUCGGAUUGUAAACCUCUGUCUUCGGGGACGAAACGAGUCGGUAGCCGUGGAGGAAGCCACGGCUAACUACGUGCCAGCAGCCGCGGUAAUACGCGGGUGGGACGCGUUGUCCGGAAUUACUGGGUGUAAGGGGGGCGUAGGCGGGAAGGCAAGUUGAAUGUUUAAGGAACGGGCUCAACCUGUACAAGCGUUCUAAACUGUUUUUUUUGAGUGGAGGAGAGGUAGGCGGAAUUCCUAGUGUAGCGGUGAAAUGCGUAGAUAUUAGGAGGAACACCAGUGGCGAAGGCGGCUUACUGGACGGCAACUGACGGUGAGGCGCGAAAGCGUGGGGAGCAAACAGGAUUAGAUACCCGUGUAGUC